UACGGGGGGGGCAAGCGUUGUUCGGAAUUACUGGGCGUAAAGGGCUCGUAGGCGGCCAACUAAGUCGGAUGUGAAAUCCCCAGGCUCAACCUGGGAACUGCAUCCGAUACUGGAUGGCUUGAAUCCGGGAGAGGGAUGCAGAAUUCCAGGUGUAGCGGUGAAAUGCGUAGAGAUGCGGCGGAACACCGAUGGCGAAGGCAGCCCCCUGGGCUGAGAUUGACGCUCAGGCACGAAAGCGUGGGGAGCAAACAGG
rnacentral:rRNA from 1 species